rnacentral:rRNA from 1 species
GAUGAACGCUGGCGGCGUGCCUAAUACAUGCAAGUCGAGCGAAUGGAUUAAGAGCUUGCUCUUAUGAAGUUAGCGGCGGACGGGUGAGUAACACGUGGGUAACCUGCCCAUAAGACUGGGAUAACUCCGGGAAACCGGGGCUAAUACCAGAUAACAUUUUGAACCGCAUGGUUCGAAAUUGAAAGGCGGCUUCGGCUGUCACUUAUGGAUGGACCCGCGUCGCAUUAGCUAGUUGGUGAGGUAACGGCUCACCAAGGCAACGAUGCGUAGCCGACCGGAGAGGGUGAUCGGCCACACUGGGACUGAGACACGGCCCAGACUCCUACGGGAGGCAGCAGUAGGGAAUCUUCCGCAAUGGACGAAAGUCUGACGCAGCAACGCCGCGUGAGUGAUGAAGGCUUUCGGGUCGUAAAACUCUGUUGUUAGGGAAGAACAAGUGCUAGUUGAAUAAGCUGGCACCUUGACGGUACCUAACCAGAAAGCCACGGCUAACUACGUGCCAGCCGCCGCAGUAA